AGUGAACGCUGGCGGUAGGCCUAACACAUGCAAGUCGAACAGCAGCACAGUAAGAGCUUGCUCUUACGGGUGGCGAGUGGCGGACGGGUGAGGAAUACAUCGGAAUCUACUUUUUCGUGGGGGAUAACGUAGGGAAACUUACGCUAAUACCGCAUACGACCUACGGGUGAAAGCAGGGGAUCUUCGGACCUUGCGCGAUUGAAUGAGCCGAUGUCGGAUUAGCUAGUUGGCGGGGUAAAGGCCCACCAAGGCGACGAUCCGUAGCUGGUCUGAGAGGAUGAUCAGCCACACUGGAACUUAGACACGGUCCAGACUCCUACGGGAGGCAGCAGUGGGGAAUAUUGGACAAUGGGCGCAAGCCUGAUCCAGCCAUACCGCGUGGGUGAAGAAGGCCUUCGGGUUGUAAAGCCCUUUUGUUGGGAAAGAAAAGCAGCAGGUUAAUACCCCGCUGUUCUGACGGUACCCAAAGAAUAAGCACCGGCUAACUUCGUG
rnacentral:rRNA from 1 species